rnacentral:lncRNA from 1 species
UGAUGGCAGGCAUUCGAGCUUUAUUUAUGUACUUGUGGCUGCAGCUGGACUGGUGAGCAGAGGAGAGAGUGUGGGGCUGCAUCUUCCUACCCUGAGUGUCCAGGAGGGUGACAACUCUAUUAUCAACUGUGCUUAUUCAAACAGCGCCUCAGACUACUUCAUUUGGUACAAGCAAGAAUCUGGAAAAGGUCCUCAAUUCAUUAUAGACAUUCGUUCAAAUAUGGACAAAAGGCAAGGCCAAAGAGUCACCGUUUUAUUGAAUAAGACAGUGAAACAUCUCUCUCUGCAAAUUGCAGCUACUCAACCUGGAGACUCAGCUGUCUACUUUUCUCGUGCUGUGGUGUAAUUCAGGGAGCCCAGAAGCUGGUAUUUGGCCAAGGAACCAGGCUGACUAUCAACCCAAUAUCCAGAACCCUGACCCUGCCGUGUACCAG